rnacentral:rRNA from 1 species
AGAGUUUGAUUCUGGCUCAGGACGAACGCUGGCGGCGUGCUUAACACAUGCAAGUCGAACGAUGAAGCGCUGUCUUUUUGAUGGUGUGGAUUAGUGGCGAACGGGUGAGUAAUACGCGGGCAACCUGCCCCUCUGCUUCGGGAUAAGCUUUGGAAACGGGGUCUAAUACCGGAUGUGCCUGUCUGGUCGCAUGGCUGGGCGGGGAAAGAUGUUUCGGCGGGGGAUGGGCUCGCGGCCUAUCAGCUUGUUGGUGGGGUGAUGGCCUACCAAGGCGGUGACGGGUAGCCGGCCUGAGAGGGUGGACGGUCACACUGGGACUGAGACACGGCCCAGACUCCUACGGGAGGCAGCAGUGGGGAAUAUUGCACAAUGGGCGCAAGCCUGAUGCAGCGACGCCGCGUGGGGGAUGACGGCUUUCGGGUUGUAAACCUCUUUCGUCGGGGGACAAGGCUCUGCUUGGUGGUGGGGUUGAGGGUACCCGGUGAAGAAGCGCCGGCUAACUACGUGCCAGCAGCCGCGGUAAUACGUAGGGCGCGAGCGUUGUCCGGAAUUAUUGGGCGUAAAGAGCUCGUAGGCGGCUGGUCGCGUCUGUCGUGAAAUCCUCUGGCUUAACUGGGGGCUUGCGGUGGGUACGGGCCGGCUUGAGUGCGGUAGGGGAGGCUGGAACUCCUGGUGUAGCGGUGGAAUGCGCAGAUAUCAGGAAGAACACCGGUGGCGAAGGCGGGUCUCUGGGCCGUUACUGACGCUGAGGAGCGAAAGCGUGGGGAGCGAACAGGAUUAGAUACCCUGGUAGUCCACGCUGUAAACGUUGGGAACUAGGUGUGGGGUCUGUUCCACGGAUUCUGCGCCGGAGCUAACGCGUUAAGUUCCCCGCCUGGGGAGUACGGCCGCAAGGCUAAAACUCAAAGGAAUUGACGGGGGCC